rnacentral:lncRNA from 1 species
CGAUCUACAACUAAAACGAUAUGUAUAGAACAGGCUACAAACAAAGGUGUCAUCUAGGUGUAUCUAAAACCAGACUCAAAAACAGAAGGGGGAGGAGGAGGAGGGGGAGGAAGGGAAGGGAGGGUAAGUCCUAACUAGAGGCGACUGUGCAAUUACAAUUUUUGAACAAUGCUUCAUCCGUCUUUAAUUUUUGGCAGACCCGAUAACAUUUCAAUCCUUCGUUACAGAUUGGUUGACCUCUGAUGUAUUUAUCUUUCUGGCUUGGCGAAGGCACGGAUCCUCCUACUUUCAACUCCCCACUUUGUUGUUGCUGCUGCUGUUGCUGUUGCGGAUGCUGGUGAUGUAUUAUCUUUCUGUAUGUUUAUUGCCCUGUCACUGUCUUUUCCAAUUGAUGGUGUUCAUGUUACAUUGCCAUUCAUGAUGAUGAUUUAAUUGUUUCUCGAUUUGCAAUAAGGGGGAUAACUAGUGGCAAGUCACAAUCAUGCAUCCCUUCCAGAAGCAAGGAAGACUCACAGAAGCAUUUCAGCCUCCCAUGGCCACAAGUCUGGCUUCCACACUAGCAGCAAGUUUCGAACCCAUGACCUUUAGCUUUUAGUUUGAAGGAAUUCGAGCUCAAAUUUUGUGAGCACUACAUUGGAUUGUAUGGCACUUGGUUAGAUGUUAUUUUGGUCGACAAUGCAAAGAUUGGAGAAACAAAGAGGAGGGCACAUAUAACUGCCCCUUCCCAUUGACCUUCUCAAAUUUGGAUCACUUAAGCAUUGGAUUGUAUUCAUUCUUCAUGUUAACUUUGUUCUGCAGGCUUCCUUCCUAUGGAUAACUUAAGCAUUUAAGUUAUUCAUUUUUUUUAAAGAUAUUUAUGUUGGUUAUUUUAAUUAUUUUAAUAAUAUUUUAUUUUUAAAGAUUCAAAAUUUAUUAUUAUUUUAUUUUAUUUAUUUAUAAUAUUUAAGAGUUGUGUUUUAUUUGAAGUGUCAUAUUCCUUUUAAAAGGGUAUGAGAAGUUCUUUAAAUAAGAAACCUCAGACAGAAAACAUAAUACGCUAAACUUUUCUGUCUUCCUCAAUUCUCACAUCUCUCUCAGUCUAUGUACAUUUCUACUUCAUAAUUCUUGGGCAAUUGAUCACUACUUGGCAAUCUCGUUUGCCGUUGACGUGCAUAUCGGAUCAGCGUCUGCCGUUGACGUGCAUAUCGGAUCAGACAUCCUGUGAGGCUUUGGGUUGUAUCUUGAAGUUGUAGGCAUCGCCAUAACCUGCACGUAAUGAGGCGUCUACGGCUUUAGGGCAACGACAUCCGGCUCUCUUUGGUUCACAGGCCAGAUUUUCUUAUUCCUUAUUCCUAAUUUAAUUUUCAUAAGUUUGAUAAUGAUUAUACAUUUGAUUUGAUAUAUUUGAUCAUAUAAAUAAUUGGUAUAUUUCUGCAAUAUAUUUCACAAUUUAGCUAUUUAAGUCAUUCUUUUUUUGCCUGAACCAGAUUUCAAAUUCGAAUUCUGAUACCUAUUAUACAUGGCCCCAUAUGGUGUGAAGAGAAUGAGCAUAUAUGCAAGUCCUCCUCUUGUGGACCCGUAAAGGAUGGAAGCUUGUGCGAGUUGUUGCUAUAAAAUGGGAAGCCCUACUGCUUAGUCACCACCCAUCUUCUCCAAGAGAAAAGAAGAGAAAAAAAACAAGAGCCAGUAAGGCUCCCCACGCAUCAUUCUUUUUUUAGUAACAUUAAUAUUUGCAUUUGGUUGUCUUUACCAAGUAAUUCAGAGACAUGGGAUCGGAGAGCUCUCAGCCGUCUUCUCCUCCUCCUCCUCCUCCUCCUCCUCCUCAUCCUCCUCCUCCUCCUCCUCAACCACGUGGAGGUAAAGAACCAGCCAUAGACUAUCAGGUGGAUAUUAAUUCGACAUCGAUGCUCUACACAGUAAAAGGCUUCCCAUAGGCAAAUGGUGAAGUGGUUCAUACAUAGGACAUCUUAUAUAUCGCGGUCUGCUGUCAACUAAUAACAUCAAUAUUAUUAUUAUGUAUAACAAUUAAGCUCUUCCAUUAAAGUUCUAUAUAUGUACUUCCAGAAUCGAGAGCUUUGUUAUGUCUGUCCCCUAGCAGACCUGGUAUGUAUUUGUAAUUUUAGUGAAUUUUAAUUUUAUUGUGUGUAUAUAUAUAUUGAGCUCUUAAGAAGAUGAAAAAUCGAUAACUCACUAGAUUUACUGUAUUAUUGAAACAAGAAAUAACCGUCAACUUUAAAAUCUUGCAUGGAGAGAGAGUACCGGCUGUCGCGUGUGCGUUUCAGCGUUUACUCGUGUAUUUUGGUUUCCGAUCUUGCCCCUACCCAUCUCUCUCCAGUCUCCACCAAGCUUUUUGCCAUUUUCAAUUCAUUUUUUUUCUUCAUGCAAACUAAAGCCAAUAUUUACAGUAACUAUUUUACGCUUGCUCAGGAGUUGGUAAGUUGCACCGGGAAUAGAAUACAACUCGUUUGAUAAUUAUUUUAAAGCAAGGCUCAUUUAGUAAUUAUUUUGUUUUAGGUUUUAGUUAUAAACUUUUACUUUUCGUGCUUAAGAAAUAAAAUGUGUAUUGAUGAAAAAGGGUGGUGAGAGCAACGGUGGGAAGAGAUAUAUAUAAAAAAAAAGAAUGAAUAAAAACAAAUUCAAGAUUUUGUAAAGAACUUAAAAAUAGUUUUUUAUUUUUUGUUUCAGUUUUCAAUUUCUUCACCUUUUCUUAUAUAUUUUUUUUCUACGUCUACCAUCACCAUCCUUCCUCAAGUUUGGUGCCUACAAUCGAAGAUUUGCAGUCUUAUAAAUAUUCUUUUUCACGGCUAAUUCAUCUUUUACCCUUAAUAUUUACGAAAUUUAAAAUUAUCCUAUAUUUCUGCAAUUAAAAUUUAAAAAUUAUCCAAUACAAUCCAAUCUUGAGUACAAAAACGAUUAUGCGUUUCAUUGACAAAGUCCAUUUGACGUCAGGUGAAAUCAUGAUGCUAUAUUGUGUGGGGGUUUUUUAUCACUCUCAAUUGCAUCGUAAUUGAGUGGCAGGCAAUAUCGUUUUGGGAUUAUAAGGAAUAUAUGCUGCAAGGAGUUGACGUGACAAGCAAGCAAUUUAGUGAGUGGUGCUAAAUCAUCAAGAAUAAAAGUUAACAGACUUAAGUAUAGUUUGGCAUUGAGUUGCUUAAAAAAAAAGCUGCUUAUUUUCAAAGUUUUUACGUUGAAGGUGUUUGGUAAACUAUAAAAAAAAAAUUAUUUUAGAAGUUGUUGUGAGAAUAAGCUAAAAUCUUCAAAAAGGCUGAAGCAGCUAAAUGCUGCAUUGGAAAACUGAUUUUUUUUCAAAGCGCGUGGAGCUACAGUGCUUUUAAAGUUCAAUAACAUCCUCAAACCAGAAAUGGUGCUCCUUUGCCGAUCUCCACAAAACCCAGAAACCCACCAGAAACAACUUUGCUGAUCUGCACAAGAAAUGGAAACACACCCAGAAACCCACCAGACUACCAUAGCCAAAACCAGAAACGAUUUUCCUUUGCCGAUCUGUGUGCUAAACUAGCCUUAACUUUCUAGGACAUUGGAUACAAACAUCAAAACCCAAAAGCCAAAAAUUGAAUAAAUAUCAGCUUUAAGAUUUCACCGCCAUCAAUUCUAUAAUUUGAUUAAACACAAUUCCAGAAAAAUAAACAAUCUGAGCCACUAAAAGCUUGAAACUUUAUCGAUUUUGGAAAGUCGAAAAGAAAUCGUGGGCAAUUUGGGUUAAAAACUAAAUACCUCUGGUUCUCCGAAGGUCCGGACUGAAACUAUGGCCAUUGGGCGUCGGUGAAGAGAGACGGAGAAAGGGAGGGACUACAGAGAGGAGUGUUUUCUGUUGUCGAGGAUUACAGACAGGAAUUAGGAAGGAAGGUGGUGGGAGGAAGAAGGGUUUAGAGUUAAAAUGGGUUUUGAUGCCACUUAACAAAGGUGUUUUCUUAAUUAUUGAUUUAUUAAAUAAUAAACUAAAUUUAAAAAUCUGAUUAAUUCAAAUGAUAUGGCUGUCCACAUCAUAUGCCACCUAAGGUGGUAUAGAAAUGUGGUAUAAAAACAUGGUAUGAAUAGCAUUACUCAAAAAAAAUAGGAGACUUCUAGAGAGACUAUUAAUAAAUAAAAGACAUGGAUUAUUAAUAAAUGAAGAUGGAUAAAAGGAAGAUAGGGCUGGUUUAUUAUUUUACAUUUAACAUUAUACUCAUUUUAUAGUUUUUUUGUCAUUUCACACAGUCACAACUGUUUUAUAUAAAAGUUUACCAAACACUACCAUACUGCUUUUUUUUUUCCAAAAGAACUUUUACAAAAAAAAAUUUACCAAACACUCUGCUACUUUAUUUCACAGCAGCUUAUUCUCAUAGCACAGCAGAAACAACUUAUUCUCAUAACACAGCAGAAACAGCUUAUUAUCAUAGCACAACAGAACAGUUGUUUUUCAAAGCACAGCAGAAACAAUUUUUUUUAAAGCACAGCAAUAUCAAACCAGCCCUGAGAGACUAAUCCCAAAAACACAUUUAAUUUUCAGAUAACAAAUUUUCAUAAUCUAAAUCCACCAUAAUUACCAGUAACAAAACACAAAUCACAAGGUGCUACAACCAUACGGUACUCGACAGAAAAUUAACCCCAUCAUUCGAUCUACAACUAAAACGAUAUGUACAGAACAGGCUACAAACAAAGGUGUCAUCUAGGUGUAUCUAACCAGACUCAAAAACAGAAGGGGGAGGAGGAGGAGGGGGAGGAAGGGAAGGGAGGGUAAGUACCCUAACUGGAGGCGGCUGUGCAACUACAAUUAUUGAACAAUGCCUCACAUCCGUCUUUAAUUUUUGGCAGACCCGAUAACAUUUCAAUCCUUCGUUACAGAUUGGUUGACCUCUGAUGUAUUAUCUUUCUUGUUAGAUGCAAUUAGCCAAGAUCAAGAUUUAAGCUACAUAAAACACAAUCAAGAAAGCAUAAAAUCUUUUGAAUAUGAACUGAUGUAUUCACACUAACAUGAUGAACCUCCAUUCGAAUAUGCCAUUGCAGCAGCUGUCCAAUUCUGUAUGCUGCAACUCUUCUCCUCUCUGGUAGAACUCUUAAUGCUCUAACUAAGAAUAGGACUUAGUUCUUUUCUGAGCGUGUCUAUGAGAGCAGAGAUCACAGCAUAUAUAUAAAUACAUAUACUUCUCCUAAACCAAUGAGGAUUUCCUAUUACAAUCCGAUUAGGAAACAACUCAUGUUUCCCAGUGUAUGUUGGUUCUUCUCCAUGACAGAUUCCUCUAUCAACAAGAACUCACAUUCAUCUUCCUAUAAGGCUUUCUUAUACUAAUUGGACCAAACAACUGACACUUGUUCACCGUAUACUCAUGUUCAUAUCUUUACAUUCUCCCACUUGAACAUGAGACAUGAACAAGCACAGUCUUUACCAAUUAUAAGAAGUGAUCACACAGCCUUAUUCAAGAUUUUAUCAUCAUGACCAACAUCCCAUUGCAUUUCAAAAUACAGAAACCAAGAAUCUCAGAUUACUAUCAAAACAAUCAUCGAUUCAAGACUCACAUGUAUCCAAUCUGCAAUUAUGACACAUGAUUAACAACACUAAUUCAGAACAUGCUCCCACUUUUCAAAAGAUCUCAAUCUAUAUCAAUCUUCAAUGAAAAACAGCAUUUCAUUAACUGAAUAAAAUUCAUGAAACAUAUAAACUUUUAAAACAAACAAAUUGUCCUUGCAAAGUACCAUAUGAAUCCAACAAGUCUAUUAUCAAAACCACAAUACUCCAAAACGGAAACUUUAGGUUUCGAAGCAAAGACUCUUAUUAAAACAUAAAACAAACUAACUAAACAUAACUAAGUAAGCUAGCUCAGACUAAAAUGUAAACAAGGUCCCAAAUUGAAUUACUCACAUAGCAGCAACCUUCAAACUUUCUGAAACAGAUCAAUUACUCCCACUGAUCUAGAGUUUCUAACACUCCCAUCCGAGAUACAUGUUUCUGAAACUCUCCAAUAGGCAGUGCUUUAGUCAGAGGAUCUGCCACCAUCAAAACAGUGCUGAUGUGCUGAACUUCAAUCAUCCCCUUCUUCACUUCCUCUCUUACUUUAAGAAAUUUUACAUCCAUUAACCUUGAGGCAGAAGUUCUUCUAUUAUUCUUGGCAAAGAACACAGCAGAAUUGUUAUCACAAAACAUCCUUACUGGUUUCUGAAUCGAUUUUACAAUUUUUAAAUCAGUCAGAAAAUUCUUCAACCACACAGCUUGUUUCAUCCCUUCAAAACAAGCUACGAACUCAGCCUCCAUAGUGGAUGUGGCUAUCACGGUUUGCUUAGCACUCUUCCAAGAAACUGCACCACCAUUUAACAUGAAGAUAUAGCCACCGGUCGAUUUUCUAUCAUCUAUAUCACCAGCCAAAUCAGAGUCAGUAUAUCCUUCAAGUUCCAAAGAUUCGCCAUUUCCAUAAACCAACAUGAAAUUCUUGGUUCUUUGUAAAUAUCUUAGAACCUUUUUGGCAGAUAUCCAAUGUGCUUCACCUGGAUUUGAUUGAAACCUUCCCAACAUUCCAGUUAUAAAAGCAAGGUCAGGCCGUGUACAUAUAGUUGCAUACAUGAGACUUCCCACCAGAGAAGCAUAAGGCUUACCCUGCAUUUUCUCUGUCUCCAAGUCAGUCCUCGGACACUGACUCUUGGAGAACUUAUCCCCUUUAUUAACUGGAACUUGUCCACAACUACAAUUCUCCAUAUUGAACCGGUGUAAUACUCUAUCAAUGUAACCCUUUUACGAUAAGCCAAGUAGUCGUUUCUGUCUAUUGCGUACAAUCUCAAUCCCCAACACAUAGUGUGCCUCUCCUAGAUCCUUCAUGUCAAAACUUUCACUGAGCAUCCUUUUAGUUCUUUGUAAUAACUGUGGACAAGAACUUGCUAGAAGAAUGUCGUCAACGUAAAGUACCAAAAAGUCCUAGUAGGAUGUCAUGUAGCUGAUCCAUUUCUUCAAAAAUGAAAUUUUCCCGCGACAGAUCUGUAACAUCUUGAUCCUCUAAGAAUACUGCAUUAUGUGUUUCUUGGAUCCGAGUGUGAUGUUGAGGAAUAUAGAAUCUGUAGCCCUUUGACUUUUCAGGAUACCCAAUGAAGUAACAAGAUUGAGUCCUUGAAUCUAAUUUUCUUUCAUUAGGAUUAUAGAACCUUGCUUCUGAUUUGCAACCCCAAACGUGAAAGUAUUCAAAAUUAGGUGUUCUGCCAUGCCAUAACUCAAAAGGUGUUGAGAUAACAGAUUUGCUCGGUACUCUGUUCAAAAUAUGAUUUGCUGUCUUCAAGGCUUCUCCCCACAAGAAACCAGGCAAUUUGGAUCUUGACAUCAUACUUCUCACCAUACCUAUAAGAGUUCGAUUCCUUCGUUCCGAGACUCCAUUUUGUUGAGGUGUCCCCGGUGUUGUAUACUGAGCUACAAUGCCGUUUUGCUCUAAAUAUAGUGCAAAUGGUCCCUUUUGCUGUCCUGAUUCAGUGUACCUGCCAAAGUAUUCUCCUCCCCUAUCCGAUCUAACAAUUUUAAUAACUUUACCUAACUGUUUUUCAACCUCAGUUUUGUAAACAAUAAAGCAUUUAAGGGCAUCAGAUUUUUCUUUAAUCAGAAAAGUAUAUCCCAGUCUAGAGAAGUCAUCAAUAAAGUUAACAAAAUACUUGUUUCCACAUAUUGUUUUGACUGGAAAAGGACCACAGAUGUCAGUGUGUAUGAUUUCAAGUAACCCUUUGCUUCUUUUGGCAUCUAGUUUUCUAAAGUUGGUCAUUUUUCCUUUCAAACAAUCAACACAUUCUGUCACAGUGGCAGAAUCUAGUUUGGGAAUUAGUUCGGCUUUGCAAAGUUGAAGAAUCCUUUCUUUAGAGAUGUGCCCUAACCUCUUAUGCCAAAGAAUAUAAGAUGAAUCAUGUUCUAACAUUCUUUUUGAAUUGACAUUAAAAACGGACUGAUCAACAAACUCAACUAUACACUCUAGUCUCCAGAGAUUUUCAGACAAGAGGGCAAUGCCCAAAAUUUUAUGAAAACUGUUUUUCUUAAAAAUUUUCAAACAUACAUCAUCAGCAAAGAAUGCAUAACCAUCUUUUAUUAUUUUAGAAGCAGAGAGCAAGUUUCUUCUCAUUUUAGGCACAUAGAGCACAUCUUUUAGUUGUAACACAAAACCAGAAUUUAGUUUUAAGUUUACUACUCCAAUGGAAUGCACUGCAACCUUAGUCCCUUCCCCCACAUAGACAUGAUACAUAGUAUUUCCAAUCUCCUUUUGUUUUUGAAAACCUUUCAAAGAAUUAGUUAUGUGAACCGAGCAUCCAGUGUCAAACCACCAAGAAUCAACAGGUACUUCACAAAGAUUUGACUCAACACAGACAAGUACUUGUUCCUUUUCUUUGCUCUUCACAAAAUCUUUAAAAAUUUCACAAUCAACUUUUAAAUGCCCUUUAGUCUUGCACCAAAAACACUUAAGUUUAGACACAUCUUUAGGUUUAGCUUUAAAUUUGAUAGAUUUUCUAGGGGAGUCAUUUACUUUAGCAGCUAUAUUGAAUUUGUUAGAAUUCUUAGUGAAUUUAGAAUUCUUACCAGGACCUGAAGAGCUGCCUUUAUUGAAUGCUCUCUUCUCUCGUCCAGGUUGUACAUAAUUUGCUUCUUCGAUCUCCUUGCCUUUCUCUUGCUUUUGCCGAGUUUCCUCUUGCACACAUUGUGCAAUCAAUUCAUCUAUGCCCCAGUUCUUGUCCUGAGUGUUGUAAGAGACUUUUAACUGACUAUACUUGGUAGGGAGGGCUUGAAAAAUCAUGAACACAAGCUGCUUCUCUCCAAUGUUUAUUUCCAUGGAGUUUAGCUUCUCGGCAGCAUCUGACAUUUUCAUUAUAUGAUCCCUUAUUGAACCAGUAUCUUCAAUCUUGUAUUGAGUCAACACAGACAUAUACUGGCUUACUUCUGCCUUCUCGGACUCCUUGAAUUUCUUUUCGAUUGCAGCCAAAUAAUCCACAGCAAGCUCUGGUUUCUUAAUUCCUCCCCUGAUAGUGUCAGUCAUUCCAGCUUCUAUGAUGGAAAGUGCUACCUUAUUAGCUCUUGACCACCUCUCAAAAUCUGACUUCUCAGCUCUGGUGCUUUGAUCACUAAUUACAGGCUUGGGAUUUUCAAUUGCUAUAUCAAACUCAUUUAGAGUCAAUAGCAAGUUGAUAUCCCUCCUCCACUUCUUGUAAUUGCUACCACCAGUAAGGAUCGGAAUAUUUGCUAAAUUUAAGGUCUUCAUUGAUAUUGCAGACAUCGAUGAACCUGAAAUCACCAUAUGAACAUUCAAAGUUCUGAUUUCGUUUCACAGUCUAUUGCACAUCAAAGCUUUAUAACCAAUAUCCAUAUAUACAAUCUUAACAACAACCAGUUGAUAGGCGCAUAUAGGAUUAUUGAUUUCAGAAUAGUUCAUGAACUGAUCACGGUAUAUCAGAAUCAACCAUCACACUGAUUUGUUCUAUACAUCUCAGUUUAUGAUCUUAAUAGUGACAAUAAAUUUGCAUAAAUUUAACCAGAUACAAUCAUUUUAAGAAACUAAAUCAUAUGCUAAGAAUGACUGCUCUCAUGUUCAUAAAAAAUCAUUAUACAAAUCUCUAUGCAAGAUUCAUGAUAUUCAUUUUUCUAAUCUGAGUUUUGAAGAUCACAUACCUUUUAAAGAGACAACCAUCAAUACCUAGCAGCGGAAACAAUUUUGGACAGGUAUUGAACACUCAAUAACAAGAUUUGGAUUACUCGGAUUGCAAGUGAACGGGUCAAAAUAAGAGGGACGAGUUAAAGUCCUCUUUUGCAGAAGAACAAAACCCAGAAAAACCCCAAAAGAAAAACCGCGCCGAUUUCGAAUAUCAACAGUCAUAUUAAUCUGACCUGAUUUUAUCAAAAACGCACCGUUUAGGAAAAAUUGUUUUGAUAUUUAGAACCGGUUUCGAAACCCGAUAAUGGCGAUUUUCAUUGACCCGUGUUUGAUUGAUUUUAAGAACUUAAAUCUAAGCUCUGAUACCACAUGUUAGAUGCAAUUAGCCAAGAUCAAGAUUUAAGCUACAUAAAACACAAUCAAGAAAGCAUAAAAUCUUUUGAAUAUGAACUGAUGUAUUCACACUAACCUGAUGAACCUCCAUUCGAAUAUGCCAUUGCAGCAGCUGUCCAAUUCUGUAUGCUGCAACUCUUCUCCUCUCUGGUAGAACUCUUAAUGCUCUAACUAAGAAUAGGACUUAGUUCUUUUCUGAGCGUGUCUAUGAGAGCAGAGAUCACAGCAUAUAUAUAAAUACAUAUACUUCUCCUAAACCAAUGAGGAUUUCCUAUUACAAUCCGAUUAGGAAACAACUCAUGUUUCCCAGUGUAUGUUGGUUCUUCUCCAUGACAGAUUCCUCUAUCAACAAGAACUCACAUUCAUCUUCCUAUAAGGCUUUCUUAUACUAAUUGGACCAAACAACUGACACUUGUUCACCGUAUACUCAUGUUCAUAUCUUUACAUUUCUGGCUUGGCGGAGGCACGGAUUCUCCUAUUUUCAACUCCCCACUUUGUUGUUGCUGCUGCUGUUGCUGUUGCUGAUGAUGCUGCUGCAUCUGUUGCUGCUGGAGUUGAUGGAGCUGAUGCUGCUGAAACUGGUGCUGCUGCUUCUGAGAAUGAAUCUGGAGCUGUUGAAACUGCUGUGCAGUUAGAAGAGUGUGCAUUGCUUGAUUGUUUGGAUAGAACUGCUGCUGACCCGCCGCGCCAAAAGAAGCGUAGUUCAUCAUAGGUCCACCAUUUGGCAUAGCUUGGCCAGUCAUAACUUUCAGAUGCUGAAUUUCUUCUUUCAGUGCAUUGUUCAAUGCUACGAGACAAACAAAAACAAUAAUGUUUCGGCACAAUUUCAUUCACAUAAGGAUCAAGAACCAGAAGUUACACGGAAUCCGAUCAGCAAGAAAACCUAAAUUAUAGUAUUGUACUGAUACUACACAAACAAGAUGCUACAGUCUAAUUUGAGCAAAACUUCUACAUCGGAUGCUAACCAAUACAAUCCAAUCUUGGGCGCAAAAAACGAUUAUGCGUUUCUUUGACAAAGUCCAUUUGACGUCAGGUGAAAUCAUGAUGCUAUAUUGUGUGGGGGUUUUGAUCACUCUCGAUUGCAUCGUAAUUGAGUGGAAGGCAAUAUCGUUUCGGGAUUAUAAGGAAUAUAUGCUGCACGGAGUUGACGUGACCAGCAAACAAUUUAGUGAGUGGUGCUAAAUCAUCAAGAAUAAAAGUUGACAGACGAAGUACGGUUUGGCAUUGAGGUGCUUAAAAAACAAAAGGAAAAAUAAUGAAAAUGUCUUGAAAACUUUGAGUUUUAACGAUAAGGACAAAAUAAAGGGUAAAGUGAAUAAUACUAGGUUUGACUUUUUAGUGUAAAAAUGUGGUUUUUCGUUAAAGUGAACAGUACUGCAGGCUUUUCGUUAAAACUCCCUAAAAAAAAGCUGCUUAUUUUCAAAGUUUUUAUGUUGAAGGUGUUUGGUAAACUAAAUAAAAAGGGAUUAUUUUUGGACAAUGCUAUGAGAAUAAGCUGAAAUCAUCAGAAAAGCUGAAGCAGCUAAAUGCUGCUUUGGAAAACUGGCUUUUUUUUCAAAGCACGCAGAGCUACGGUGCUCCUUUAAUGAAACUUUCUAAAGUCCAAUAACACCCUCAAACCAGAAAUGGUGCUCCUUUGCCGGUCUCCACAAAACCUAGAAACCCACUAGAAACGACUUUGCCGAUCUGCACAAGAAAUGGAAACACAAAAACCCAAAAACCCACCAGACUACCACAGCCAAAACCAGAAACGGUUUUCCUUUGCCGAUCCGCGCGCUAAACUAGCCUUAACUUUCUAAGACAUUGGAUACAAACAUCAAAACCCAAAAGCCAAAAAUUGAAUAAAUAUCAGCUUUAAGAUUUCACCGCCAUCAAUUCUAUAAUUUGAUUAAACACAAUUCCAGAAAAAUAAACAAUUUGAGCCACUACAAGCCUGAAACUUUAUCGAUUUUGGAAAAGUCGAAAAGAAAUCAUGGGCAAUUUGGGUUAAAAGCUAAAUACCUCUGGUUCUCCGAAGGUCCGGACUGAAACUAUGGCCACUGGGCGCCGGCGAAGAGAGACGGAGAAAGGGAGGGACUACAGAGAGGAGUGUUUUCUGUUGUCGAGGAUUACAGACAGGAAUUAGGAAGGAAGGUGAGUGGGAGGAAGAAGGGUUUAGAGUUAAAAUGGAUUUUGAUGCCACUUAACAAAUGAAGAUAGAUAAAAGAAAAAUAGGAGACUUGUAGAGAGACUAUUAAUAAAUAAAAGACAUGGAUUAUUAAUAAAUGAAGAUGGAUAAAAGAAAGAUAGAGUUGGUUUAUUAUUUUACAUUUAACAUUAUACUCAUUUUAUAUAUUUUUUUGUCAUUUCACACAAUCACAGCUCUUUUAUAUAAAAGUUUACCAAACACUAUCAUAUUGCUUGUUUUCUUUUCCAAAAGAACUUUUACAAAAAAAAUUUAUCAAACAUUCUGCUGUUUUAUUUCACAGCAGCUUAUUCUCAUAGCACAGCAGAAGUAGCUUAUUCUCAUAGCACAGCAGAAACAGUUUUUUCUCAUAGCAAAGCAGAAGAACCUUUUUUCAAAGCAGAGUAAUACCAAACCAGCCCUGAGACUAAUCCCAAAAACACAUUUAAUUUUCAGAUAACAAAUCUUCAUAAUCUAAAUCCACCAUAAUUACCAGGAACAAAACGCAAAUCACAAGGUGCUACAACCAUACGGUACUCGACCGAAAAUUAACCCCAUCAUUCGAUCUACAACUAAAACGAUAUUUACAGAACAGGCUACAAACAAAGGUGUCAUCUAGGUGUAUCUAACCAGACUAAAAAACAGAAGGGGGAGGAGGAGGAGGAGGAGAAGGGGGAGGAAGGGAAGGGAGGGUAAGUACCCUAACUGGAGGCGGCUGUGCAACUACAAUUUUUGAACAAAGCCUCAUCCGUCAUUAAUUUUUGGCAGACCCGAUAACAUUUCAAUCCUUCGUUACAGAUUGGUUGACCUCUGAUGUAUUAUCUUUCUGGCUUGGCGAAGGCACGGAUCCUCCUAUUUUCAACUCCCCACUUUGUUGUUGCUGCUGCUGUUGCUGUUGCGGAUGCUGAUGAUGCUGCUGCAUCUGUUGCUGCUGAAGUUGAUGGAGCUGAUGCUGCUGAAACUGGUGCUGCUGCUUCUGAGAAUGAAUCUGGAGCUGUUGAAACUGCUGUGCAGUUAGAAAAGUGUGCAUUGCUUGAUUGUUUGGACAGAACUGCUGCUGACCCGCCCCGCCAAAAGAAGCGUAGUUCAUCAUAGGUCCACCAUUUGGCAUAGCUUGGCCAGUCAUAACUUUCAGAUGCUGAAUUUCUUCUUUCAGUGCAUCGUUCAAUGCUAUGAGACAAACAAAAACAAUAUUGUUUCGGCAAGUCAAUUUCAUUCACAUAAGGACCAAGAACCAGAAGUUACAUGGAAUCGGAUCAGUGAGAAACCUAUGUUAUAGUAUUGUUCUGAUACUACACAAACAAGAUGCUACAGUCUAAUUUAUUUUUUUGGUUUCCUUUAUGUGCCAAGAUCAGAAUGAGCAAAACUUCUACUUCGGAUGCUAAUUGGCUCUAAAAAAUGAAACAUCCAAUAUGAUGGCCAGUUCACUUCAGGUCAGCCAGCAUGUUGUUUAUGGCUACUACAACGUUGAAAAUGGGCAUAAAUUCAAGGAAAAUCUUUCUUGCCCAUAUCGGUGGGGGAGGUAGACCCAGCACCGCAUUGAUUAGCAUGGAAACUAGAUCCAAUGGUUGUACACAGGCUGACUUAGAAGCAAAUAAAGAGACUAUGAACAAAAAUCUACCCAUUUGAUAGACCUUCAGUUUUUAGUUCGAAGGAAUUCGAGCUCAAAUUUUGUGAGCACUACAUUGGAUUGUAUUGCACUUGGUUUGAUGUUGUUUUGGUCGACAAUGCAAGGAUAGGAGAAACAAAGAGCAUGGCACGUAUAACUGCCCCUUCCCAUUGACCUUCUCAAAAUUGGAUCACUUAAGCAUUGGAUUGUAUUCGUUCUUCAUCUUAACUUUGUUCUACAGGCUUCCUUCCUAUGUCUAACUUAAGCAUUUAAGUUAUUCAUUUUUUUUUAAAGAUAUUUAGCUAUUUAAGUUAUUCCUUUUUUGCCUGAUGCUGAACGAGAUUUCAAAUUCGAAUUUGGGUACCUAUACAUGGUCUCACAUGGUGUGAAGAGAAUUAGCAUAUAUGCAAGUCCUCCUCCUUUUGUGGACCCGUAAAGGAUGGAAGCUUGUGUGGCUUGCUGCUAUAAAAUGGGGAGCCUUACUGCUUAGUCCCCACCCAUCUUCUCCAAGAGAAAAGACGAAGGAAAAAAAAAAAGAGCUAGUAAGGCUCCCCACCGAUCAUUCUUUUUUUAGUAACAUUAAUAUUUGCAUUUUGUUGUCUUUACCAAGCAAUUCAGAGACAUGGAAUUGGAGAGCUCUCAAGCGUCUUCGCCUCCUCCUCGUCAUGAGUCUCAAUCUGAGUAACGUAAGGAUUAAAACUCACUCCAAGAGAUGUUACAAACUCUUCAGCAAUCUGAGGCCAAUCAACAUCAGGAUAUGCAACAAGAUGAGCAUUGUAAUUUCCUACUGCACCAGCAAACUUCCCCAUGAUUUCAACCUGAGAAAUUCUGCGCCUUUGUAUGCUUAACCUGACAGCGAAAAUUGCCAUUUCCUUCCCCAAAGUGGUGGGUGAGGCAGUCUGACCGUGCGUGCGAGAAAGCAUGGGAACGGACGCGUUAUCCUUUGACAUGUCACAAAUUGCCUCAACCAACUCAUCCAUGACGGGAAACAUAACAUUGUUGAUAGCAUCUUUCAACAUCAACGCAUGAGCAAGAUUGUUGAUGUCCUCAGAUGUGCAAGCAAAAUGGAAAAACUCAAGCACCUACAAUAACAAAACAUUACACAAUUCUCAAACAUAUGAAACGAAGCUAUCAACGGGACGGUAUCAAAUAUAAAGGAGCAGCUUCAAGCUUGUUUCGGAAUUUAAAUGACUCGAUAAAGGGAUUCACCUUAGCUAUCUCUGGAUGCGAACUGCAUUUCUGUUUCAAAAAAUACUCCACUGCUUUCACAUCAUGAUUAGUAAUUUUCUCAAUCUUCUUUAUUUCCGCUGCAUCAUCGACGCUAAAUCCAUCGAUGAUUCCUUGCAAGUAAGAUUGAGCAUCUCCACUGAAACUGGGCACCUCUGUGACCUCAGGGAUUUGUGAAAGUUUCAACAGCCAUUUUAUCUGAAAUUAAGAAAAACAAUAACACCUUCAUCAAAUUCAAAAUUCAAAUAAAGAAAACGCAACAAAAAAUUACGAAAACUCGGUAGCAAAUUAAACGAAGUACCUCAACGAAAACUCUGUAGUAGAUUAGGGCAUAUUCGCUCAUAAAAGGAGCCAAUUCCUUGACUUUACCCCAAUAACGGCCGUCCAACGGCGACAAAGCCGUCAAAAUCGAAUGCCCGAUUUCGACUUUGCCGUGGCAUGUACCAUUGGUAUCUUCGAUGGCGGCUCUUAGAGAGCAGUCCAUGCGGCUCCGAGAGAGUGACAAAGAAGAAGUGUUGGAAGGACGAUGAAGGUAUGGGGCUUUGGAUGGCACAGAACUGAAGAAGCAGGAGAGUUGGUUGCAGUUCGGAGCCCUAGAAGAAAAAGAAGAGGAAGGAGAAGAGGCUCCGACGUCGAUGAAUCGGAAGGUCAUUUUGACGAGCUCGGAAAUCCCAAGGAAAAUCCCAGAAAGGGGUCUGAAAACCCUAGAUAGGUGGCGAAGAGGAUGAUGGAGGCGCGCGGUAAACACUCCGAAAACCAAAAAUUUAAUCGAUACUAAAACUAAAACACUGUUCCUAACUGACUAUUUUGCCCCUGUUUAUUUUUUAUUAGAGUAAACUGUCAUUUAACCCCCUGAACUAUCACGUGAGUUUCAAUUUUCCCUUGAACUAUUUUUUUAGCCAAUUGACCCCUUAAACUAUGUUAAAGUGGCCAAUUAACCCCCUACCGUUAAGUAUCUUUAACUCCAUCCAAUUUUCUGUUAGAAAGUGUCAUGUGCUUGGCACAUGACCACCUUUUUACAUUUUAUGUCUAAAUCUUUACAAAGAAAACAUAUAUAACAAAUAUUAAAAAAAAAAACUUACAAACCCUAAACUUAAUCAUUUAAAAUAAUAGAAAAAGUAAGGCUUUUUAUAUUAACACCCCACAAAAUGUUGAAUGCACCACAUAUUAAAAUUUAAUAUUAAAUGACUUAUUUACUCCACUAUGCAAUGACAAUUUUGACCUUAUUAGAUUUAAAAAAAAUUAUAAAUACAUCCUAAAUCACUUUUAGCGUAUUAUUUAUCUUCUUAACUAUCAAAACCCUCUCAUCCUCCAUUGUUGAACAAAAUUCUAACCAAUGAAACUACAAAUAUGUUGAUUGAGAAAAAUUGUUUUUGACGAAUGAAACACGAAAUCGAUGUUUCUGAAGCUUCACAUGAGAUAAGACUUCACAUUUUUCAUUGUUUUAGUGAUUUCGAUGACAUCGAUAAUUAUUUAAUCUUGCAUUUGCUGCAUUAUUUUUCAAUAUGAACCCUAAAAGAUGAAUAUGAAUAUGAAUAUGAAUAUAUAAGUUUAAAUAAUGCAGCAAACGCAAGAUUAAAUAAUUAUCGAUGUCAUCGAAAUCACUAAAACAAUGAAAAAUGUGAAGUCUUACCUCAUGUGAAGCUUCAAAAACAUCGAUUUCGUGUUUCAUUCGUCAAAAACAAUUUUUCUCAAUCAACAUGUUUGUAAUUUCAUUGGUUAGAGUUUUGUUCAACAAUGUAGGAUGAGAGGGUUUUGAUAGUUGAGAAGAUAAAUAAUACGCUAAAAGAGAUUUGGGGUGUAUUUAUAAUUUUUUUUAAACCUAAUAAGGUCAAAAUUGUCAUUACAUAAAUAAGUCAUUUAAUAUUAAAUUUUAAUAUGGGGUGCAUUCAACAUUUUAUGGGGUGUUAAUAUAAAAAGUCUUACCUUUUCUAUUAUUUUGAAUGAUUAAGUUUAGGGUUUGUAUGUUUUUUGUUUUAAUAUUUGUUUUAUAUGUUUUCUUUGUAAAGAUUUAGACAUAAAAUGUAAAAAGGUGGUCAUGUGCCAAGCACAUGACACUUUCUAAUAGAAAAUUUGAUGGAGUUAAAGAUACUUAACGGUAGGGGGUUAAUUGGCCACUUUAACAUAGUUUAGGGGGUCAAUUGGCUGAAAAAAUAGUUCAGGGAGGAAAUUGAAACUCACGUGAUAGUUCAGGGGGUUAAAUGACAGUUUACUCUUUUUUAUUAUUGCGUUUCUGCCAUUGCCUGAGAUAAUAUAUAUACAUUAUAUUAUUUUUUUAUUUUUUCUUAUUCUCGCUUUUCUCUUUUCCCUCUCGCUGUUCUCCCCCGAGUGCGGUUCACCGUCAAACUGCUAAACGAGAAAACCAAAACAUCACCAAUUGCAUUUGCUUCUUAAACCGUUAACGAAAAAUUAAAUUUUUAUAUUAAAAAAUUAAUUUUGGUACUAUUUAUUUUACUUUUUAUUUUGUUAUUAUCGUUAAAACUCAAAAUUUUCAAAUCAUUUUCAUUAUUUUUUCUUUUAAAUAAUGACUCCUUGCCCAUUCUCCUAAUUUUAGAAAAAAAAGAAGCAUUUAAUUUUUCUAAUUGUGUGGUUUACUAUUUACUAUUCAGCAAAAUUUAUGUAACUUCUGGAAAGUAGUGCCAUCAUUCUUUUUGAGGAGAAAUUUUUAGUUGUGACGGAAACACGGGUGAUACAUCACGUGUUUUUAUGUAAGUGGUGAGAAAUUUUAUUUUUUAAGUUAUUAACUUUUUAACACACAUAUUCCACAAUUUAUAUAACAACAUGUGAUGUACUAUUCCUUGUGACGGUCACAUUGAAAAAUCUCUCAUCUCUCCAGUAUAUGAACCUUUUCGAUUUUCCGUUUUGCUUUAUGAUUUCCUUAUUAAAAGUAAACUAAAUUAUUUAUGGUUGAGUUAUGGUAAUAUAUGUUAAGUUUCUGAAGCCCCAACUGUUUAUUUGUUUUCAUUUUUCUAUUGAUAGAGAAAUAUAAUCAACAAGGAAACAUAGAUAAGAAAUUCAUCAAGUUAAGAAAAAGUCGGAUGGGUAUGUAUGUGGGUAUUAUAUAGUGGAAUUGGAUCCUCUCCGGAUCCUAAUAAUCUGAGCUUAAUGAUCAUUUGAUCCGGAUUGUUGAAAUUUGUUUCACCGGCUACAAUUAUUAUAAUUUUUAGAGAGGUCCCUUGUUUGUAACCGUUGGAUCAAAUUUCAACAAUUUGGAUCAUUUGAUCCUUGUGCUCAGAGUCUUCAUAAUGAUUCUGUGUUGAACUAAUCAAAUGGUGGUUGGAGUUUGAUUUCACAAAAAUGCUUUGAAAGGUUUUCUGUUGGGAUUUAAUAAUUUCAUUCCACAUGCUAUUGUGUCACUCAGUGUCAUCAUUUGGGACAAAUUUAUGGAAAUUUUUGUGACUUGAUGCACAUGUAUUUUCCCUUAUAUUGUCAUUGUUGUGAUGUUUUGAAUGCACGAAAAGUGGAGAUGACAAUUGUUGUUGUCCUUUAUGUUUAGAGCAAGUGGAGAUGGAUCUUUGGAUAAAAAGAAAAAGGGUAAAAGACUGUUUACUACCCUCAUGUUUUGUGGUUUUCAACAUUUAGUACAUCAAGUUUUUUUCGUCUCAGAUUCAUACAUAAAGUGUAAAUUUUGGGACAGUCUCAUACAUCCGUUAGUCAAACUGUUAAAUCUGCCGUUAAUUGUGAUGUGGUGCCCAUGUGGACAAGGACUGGGCGCCACGUAUCAGCCACGUUUUUUUUUCUUUCUUCUUUCUUCUUUCUUCUUCCUUCUUCCUUCUUCUUCUUCCAUUUGACUGCAACUUUUUUUUUCUUCCUCCUUCUUCUUCCUCCUUCCUCCUCCUUCUCCUCCCUUAUUCUUCCUUCUUUCUUCUUCCUUCUUCCUUCCUCCUCUUCUUCUUCUUCCUCCAAAUCUGCCCAGAUUCAGUUUUUUUUUUCUUCCUCCUUCUUCUUCUUCUUCCUUCCUCUUCUUCUCCUUCUUCCUUCUUCUUCCUCCGAAUCUGGGCAAGAUGAAGGUUUUUUUUUUUUUUUUGGUGAGGAAGAUGAAGAAGAAGGAAGAAGGAGAAGAAGGGGGAGAAGAAGGAAGGAAGAAGGAGAGGAAGAAGGAGGAAGAAGAAGAAAGAAGAAAAAAAAAUUCAUCUUCCCCAGAUUCAGAAGAAGAAGGAAGAAGAGAAAAAAAAAACUUUUAGUCAGAGGAAGAAGAAAAAAGAAGAAAAAAGAAAAGAAAAAAACCGAAUCUGGGCAGAUUCGGAAGAAGAAGAAGAAAAAGAAGAAGAAGGAGGAAGGAGAAGGAAGAAGGAGGAAGAAGAAAAAAAAAAACUUCCCCAGAUUCGAGGAAGAAGAAGAAGAAGAAGAAGAAGGAGAAGGAGGAAGAACAAAAAAAGUUGCAAUUGGAGGAAGAAGAAGAAGAAGAAGAAGAAUGAAGAAGAAAGAAGAAAGAAGAAAGAAGAAAAAAAAAAGAAAAAAAAACGUGGCUGACACGUGGUGCCCAGUCAUUGUCCACAUGGGCGCCACGUCACAAUUAACGGCAGAUUUAACAGUUUGACUAAUGGAUGUAUGAGACUGUCCCAAAAUUUACACUUUAGGUAUGAAUCUAAGACGAAAAAAACUUGAUGUACUAAAUGUUGAAAACCACGAAACAUGAGGGUAGUAAACAGUCUUUUACCCAAAGAAAAAUUAGCACAACUACUUCAGUAUUCCAUUUCAAUAAUUUGCAUUUAAUUUUUCAAGUGUUUUACACGUAGAGAGAUGAGUUGUGUACUCUGAGUUCGCUGGAUCAUUUUUAUGAGGAUUCAGAGAAUCCCGUGAUCGUGUCCGUUCUGAUCACACGAUGUAUGAUGAACAGACACGAUCACGGGAUCUCCCAAAUCCCCAGAAAAAACAAUCCGGCUAGGAUCCUUUUCCCUUGAGUAUCAGAUUUUGUUCCCUAGACUUUAGUUGUGUUGAAGUUGUGAUUGUUUUAAGUUUAGAUUUCUAUUUACUCUCAGUUUGGUUUAGAGAAAUUAUUUAUUUAUUAGUAUUUGACUCGUAUCCCAAUUCUUUCCUUUGGCCCUUUGACCCUCUCAAUCUCUUUUUUUUCUUCUCUUUUUCCGAUUUUGAUAAUUAUCUAGGUGGAAUUUGUGAUUGAAUUUUGUUGAAUUUUUUUAUUUAAUUUAAUCAGUAAUUUUUGUAAAAUACGCAGGAGAGUUCGAAGUCAAAUAGGGGUAAGCACAUAUUAAGCUUAUGUAUCUCAAUGUGAUUGUUUGUAGAUUUCCUACGAGUUUAUGAUUGUAUUAAAUCGUUUAUGUAAUACACAUAAAGUAUUCUCCCUUGUAUGUAAAUAGUACUAUAUACAAAAUCUUCCUACGGUUUCUUUUUAAUCUUGCAAUAUCGCGCGGGCAUUGUGACAACAUGUCCUUACCUUUACAAUUUUAUAAAAUUUAAAAUAGUGAUUUUACGAAAAAUGCCCCUAGAGGAAAAACUUUGACUUUCGUUGACCAUCGGUUAGAGAGACGUAGGACUCAUUUUUUUAGCGUAUCCUCGUAGUACUUGUCACUACGAGCGCAUAGGCGGAAACCGUUCGCGAGUCUGGAUUAUAACGGUAUAGUUACAUACGUUUGAAAUUGGUUAUUUAAAGUUUAGUUAAAUAAAUUGAACUCCCAUCUUAUGGGAAAGAAACCAAUCAUAUUUAAGAAAGAAAAUAAGGGACCAAUCGGUUAAUGAAGGGGGACCAAUCAGAAAUUGAGGGGUGAGAGAGGGCCAAUGGGCUGAAGACAGAGAAGCUCCCAGCCUUCACUUUCCUGUCUACCCAUCCCUGUGACCUCCCAUUUUUCGUCACCGAUUCCAAUCAACUCCAGCGGAAUUUUUCGACGCCACCACCACCAUCUUGAAGCUUUCACUCCCCUCUACAAACCCUAAACAAGAACCACCUUGAUUAACCUCUGUACGCCCAUUGGCCUUGAUUAACCUUGAUUAACCUCUGUACGCCCAGCGGAAUUUUGGCUUCAAAACCGCACCGAAUUGUACAACAAAAAGUUUCAGUUUCGGUUGCGGUUUCACUUGAAACUAAUCCCGAAAACACAUUUAAUUUUCAGAUAACAAAUCUUCAUAACCUAAAUCCACCAUAAUACCAGGAACAAAACACAAAUCACAAGGUGCUACAACUAUACGGUACUCGAUCUACAACUAAAAUGAUAUGUAUAGAACAGGCUACAAACAAAGGUGUCAUCUAGGUGUAUCUAAAACCAGACUCAAAAACAGAAGGGGGAGGAGGAGGAGGAGGAGGGGGAGGAAUGGAAGGGAGGGUAAGUCCUAACUGGAGGCAUCUGUGCAACUACAAUUUUUGAACAAUACUUCAUCCGUCUUUAAUUUUUGGCAGAUCCGAUAACAUUUCAAUCCUUCGUUACAGAUUGGUUGACCUCUGAUGUAUUAUCUUUCUGGCUUGGCGAAGGCACGGAUCCUCCUACUUUCAACUCCCCACUUUGUUGUUGCUGCUGCUGUUGCUGUUGCGGAUGCUGGUGAUGUAUUUUCUUUCUGUAUGUUUAUUGCCCUGUAGCUCUGUCUUUUCCAUUUGAUGGUGUCUUGUUACAUUGCGAUUCAUGAUGAUGAUUUAAUUGUUUCUCGAUUUGCAAUAAGGGAGAUAAUUGGUGGCAAGUCAUGGUCAUCCACCCCUUCCAGGAGCCGAGAAGACUCACAAAAGCAUUUCAGCCUCCCAUGGUCACAAGUUUGGCUUCCAUACUAGCAGCAGGUUUCGAACCCAAGACCUUCCGUUUUUAGUUUGAAGGAAUUCGAGCUCAAAUUUUGUGAGCACUACAUUGGAUUGUAUGGCACUUGGUUAGAUGUUAUUUUGGUCGACAAUACAAAGAUCGGAGAAACAAAGAGGAGGGCACAUAUAACUGCCCCUCCCCAUUGACCUUCUCAAAUUUGGAUCACUUAAGCAUUAGAUUGUAUUCAUUCUUCAUCUUAACUUUGUUCUGCAGGCUUCCUUCCUAGGGAUAACUUAAGCAUUUAAGUUAUUCAUUUUUUUCUAAUUAUUUUUAUAAUAUUUUAUUUUUAAAGAUUCAAAACUUAUUAUUAUUUUAUUUUAUUUUAUUUAUUUAUAAUAUUUAAGAGUUGUGUUUUAUUUGAAGAGUCAUAUUCCUUUUAAAAGGGUAUGAGAAGUUCUUUAAAUAAAAAACCUCAGACAGAAAACAUAAUACGCUAAACUUUUAUGUCUCCCUCAAUUCUCACAUCUCUCUCGGUCUAUUUACAUUCCUACUUCAUAAUUCUUGGGCAAUUGAUCACUACUUGGCAAUCCCGUUUGCCGUUGGCGUGCAUAUCGGAUCAGACAUCCUGUGAAGCUUUGGGUUGUAUCUUGGAGUUGUAGGCACCGCCAUAACCUGCACAUAGGGAGGGGUCUACGGCUUUAGGGCAGCGACAUCACGCCUCUCUUUGGUUCACAUGCCAGAUUUUCUUAUUCCUUAUUCCUAAUUUAAGUUUGAUAGUGAUUAUACAUUUGAUUUGAUAUAUUUCAUAUAAAUAAUUGGUAUAUUUCUGCAAUAUAUUUCACAAUUUAACUAUUUAAGUUAUUCUUUUUUUUGCCUGAACGAGAUUUCAAAUUCGAAUUCUGAUACCUAUUAUACAUGGCCCCAUAUGGUGUGAAGAGAAUAAGCAUAUAUGCAAGUCCUCCUCCUCUUAUGGACUCGUAAAGGAUGGAAGCUUGUGCGAGUUGUUAUAAAAUGGGAAGCCCUACUGCUUACUCACCACCCAUCUUCUCCAAGAGAAAAGAAGAGAAAAAAAAAAGGAGCCAGUAAGGCUUCCCACACAUCAUUCUUUUUUUAGUAACAUUAAUAUUUGCAUUUGGUUGUCUUUACCAAGCAAUUCAGAGACAUGGGAUCAGAGAGCUCUCAGCCGUCUUCUCCUCCUCCUCCUCCUCCUCCUCCUCCUCCUUCACGUGGAGGUGAAGAACCACCCAAAAACUGUCCGGUGGAUUAUAGUUUAUUAAAUUUAGUAGAUAAGGAUGAUAAGCAGUGUUGGAAACCAGAAAGGCUCGACGACCACAUGACUGCUCUACACAGUAAAAGGCUGCCCAUAGGCAAAUGGUGAAGUGGUUCAUACAUAGGACGUCUUAUAUAUCGCGGUCUGCUGUCAACUAAUAACAUCAAUAUUAUUAUUAUGUAUAAUAAUUAAGCUAUUCCAUUAAAGUUCUAUAUAUGUACUUCCACAAUCCAGAGCUUAGCAGACCUGGUAUGUAUUUGUAAUUUUAGUGUGUGUAUAUAUAUAUUGAGCUCUUAAGAAGAAGAAAAAUCGAUAACUCGCUAGAUUUACUGCACAUUAUUGAAACAAGAAAUAACCGUCAACUUUAAAAUCUUGCAUGGAGAGAGAGUACCGGUUGUCGCGUGCACGUUUCAGCGUUUACUCGUGUAUUUUGGUUUCCGAUCGUGCCCCUACCCAGCUCUCUCCAGUCUCCACCAAGCUUUUUGCCAUUUUCAACUCAUUUUUUUUCUUCAUGCAAACUAAAGCCAAUAUUUACACUAACUAUUUUACGCUUGUUCAGGAGUUGGUAAGGUGCACCCGGAAUAGAAUACAACUCGUUUGAUAAUUAUUUUAAAGCAAGGCUUAGUAAUUAUUUCGUUUUAGGUUUUAGUUAUAAACUUUUACUUUUCGUGCUUAAGAAAUAAAAUGUGUAUUGAUGAAAAAGGGUGGUGAGAGCAACGGUGGGAAGAGAUAUUAAAAAAAAAAAUGAAUAAAAAAAAAUUCAAGAUUUUGAAAAGAACUUAAAAAUAGUUUUUUUAUUUUUUGUUUCAGUUUUCAAUUUCUUCACCCUUUUCUUAUAUAUUUUUUUUCUACGUCUACCAUCACCAUCCUUCCUAAAGUUUGGUGCCUACAAUGGAAGAUUUGCAGUCUUAUAAAUAUUCUUUUUCACGGCUAAUUCAUCUUUUACACUUAAUAAUUACGAAAUUUAAAAUUAUCCUAUAUUUCUGCAAUUAAAAUUUAAAAAUUAUCCAAUACAAUCCAAUCUUGAGUACAAAAACGAUUAUGCGUUUCAUUGACAAAGUCCAUUUGACGUCAGGUGAAAUCAUGAUGCUAUAUUGUGUGGGGGUUUUUGAUCACUCUCAAUUGCAUCGUAAUUGAGUGGCAGGCAAUAUCGUUUUGGGAUUAUAAGGAAUAUAUGCUGCAAGGAGUUGACGUGACAAGCAAGCAAUUUAGUGAGUGGUGCUAAAUCAUCAAGAAUAAAAGUUAACAGACUUAAGUAUAGUUUGGCAUUGAGUUGCUUAAAAAAAAAGCUGCUUAUUUUCAAAGUUUUUACGUUGAAGGUGUUUAGUAAACUAUAAAAAAAACAUUAUUUUAGAAGUUGUUGUGAGAAUAAGCUAAAAUCUUCAAAAAGGCUGAAGCAGCUAAAUGCUGCAUUGGAAAACUGAUUUUUUUUCAAACCGCGUGGAGCUACAGUGCUUUUAAAGUUCAAUAACAUCCUCAAACCAGAAAUGGUGCUCCUUUGCCGAUCUCCACAAAACCCAGAAACCCACCAGAAACAACUUUGCUGAUCUGCACAAGAAAUGGAAACACACCCAGAAACCCACCAGACUACCAUAGCCAAAACCAGAAACGAUUUUCCUUUGCCGAUCUGUGUGCUAAACUAGCCUUAACUUUCUAAGACAUUGGAUACAAACAUCAAAACCCAAAAGCCAAAAAUUGAAUAAAUAUCAGCUUUAAGAUUUCACCGCCAUCAAUUCUAUAAUUUGAUUAAACACAAUUCCAGAAAAAUAAACAAUCUGAGCCACUAAAAGCUUGAAACUUUAUCGAUUUUGGAAAAGUCGAAAAGAAAUCGUGGGCAAUUUGGGUUAAAAACUAAAUACCUCUGGUUCUCCGAAGGUCCGGACUGAAACUAUGGCCAUUGGGCGUCGGUGAAGAGAGACGGAGAAAGGGAGGGACUACAGAGAGGAGUGUUUUCUGUUGUCGAGGAUUACAGACAGGAAUUAGGAAGGAAGGUGGUGGGAGGAAGAAGGGUUUAGAGUUAAAAUGGGUUUUGAUGCCACUUAACAAAGGUGUUUUCUUAAUUAUUGAUUUAUUAAAUAAUAAACUAAAUUUAAAAAUCUGAUUAAUUCAAAUGAUAUGGCUGUCCACAUCAUAUGCCACCUAAGGUGGUAUAGAAAUGUGGUAUAAAACAUGGUAUGAAUAGCAUUACUCAAAAAAAAUAGGAAGACUUCUAGAGAGACUAUUAAUAAAUAAAAGACAUGGAUUAUUAAUAAAUGAAGAUGGAUAAAAGGAAGAUAGGGCUGGUUUAUUAUUUUACAUUUAACAUUAUACUCAUUUUAUAGUUUUUUUGUCAUUUCACACAGUCACAACUGUUUUAUAUAAAAGUUUACCAAACACUACCAUACUGCUUUUUUUUUUCCAAAAGAACUUUUUACAAAAAAAAAUUUACCAAACACUCUGCUACUUUAUUUCACAGCAGCUUAUUCUCAUAGCACAGCAGAAACAACUUAUUCUCAUAACACAGCAGAAACAGCUUAUUAUCAUAGCACAACAGAACAGUUGUUUUUCAAAGCACAGCAGAAACAAUUUUUUUUAAAGCACAGCAAUAUCAAACCAACCCUGAGAGACUAAUCCCAAAAACACAUUUAAUUUUCAGAUAACAAAUUUUCAUAAUCUAAAUCCACCAUAAUUACCAGUAACAAAACACAAAUCACAAGGUGCUACAACCAUACGGUACUCGACAGAAAAUUAACCCCAUCAUUCGAUCUACAACUAAAACGAUAUGUACAGAACAGGCUACAAACAAAGGUGUCAUCUAGGUGUAUCUAACCAGACUCAAAAAACAGAAGGGGGAGGAGGAGGAGGGGGAGGAAGGGAAGGGAGGGUAAGUACCCUAACUGGAGGCGGCUGUGCAACUACAAUUAUUGAACAAUGCCUCGCAUCCGUCUUUAAUUUUUGGCAGACCCGAUAACAUUUCAAUCCUUCGUUACAGAUUGGUUGACCUCUGAUGUAUUAUCUUUCUGGCUUGGCGGAGGCACGGAUUCUCCUAUUUUCAACUCCCCACUUUGUUGUUGCUGCUGCUGUUGCUGUUGCUGAUGAUGCUGCUGCAUCUGUUGCUGCUGGAGUUGAUGGAGCUGAUGCUGCUGAAACUGGUGCUGCUGCUUCUGAGAAUGAAUCUGGAGCUGUUGAAACUGCUGUGCAGUUAGAAGAGUGUGCAUUGCUUGAUUGUUUGGAUAGAACUGCUGCUGACCCGCCGCGCCAAAAGAAGCGUAGUUCAUCAUAGGUCCACCAUUUGGCAUAGCUUGGCCAGUCAUAACUUUCAGAUGCUGAAUUUCUUCUUUCAGUGCAUUGUUCAAUGCUACGAGACAAACAAAAACAAUAAUGUUUCGGCACAAUUUCAUUCACAUAAGGAUCAAGAACCAGAAGUUACACGGAAUCCGAUCAGCAAGAAAACCUAAAUUAUAGUAUUGUACUGAUACUACACAAACAAGAUGCUACAGUCUAAUUUGAGCAAAACUUCUACAUCGGAUGCUAAUUGGCUCUAAAAAUUAACCAUCCAAUACGAUGGCCAGUCCACUUCAGGUUAGCCAGCAUGUUGUUUAUGGCCUACUACAACAUUGAAAAUGGGCAUAAAUUCAAGGAAAAUCGUUCUUGUCGACAUCGGUGGGGGAGGCAUACCCAGCACCGCUUUGAUUAGCCACAGGAAACUAGAUCCAAUGACUGUACACAGGCUAUGAAUUAGAAGCAAAUAGAGAGACUAAGAACAAAAAUCUACUCAUUUGAUAGACAAGCAGUAAAAUGGUCAAGGCAAGUCUACAUUUACAGCUCAGUAAUAAAAGCCAAAAACACAUAAACCUCUCCGACUAAACAUUCAUCAUAAAGAUGCCAACUCAUGCAAUAUAAAUUUAAAAACACUAAUUUAGUACCUUCUGGAUAAGUUGAAGAAACAAUCAAAUCAAAUCAUAAACUAGUUUAGCACAUAAUUUAGUACCAUCUGGAUAAUUUGAAUAAACAAUCAAAUCAUAAACUCAUUGUGCAAUAGGAAAUGCCGAGGAACCAAAGUUCUUUUGCCGAAUCUUAUAACGUAGACUAUAAUAAAUUAGGUAUUUGGUAAAAGCAUAUGGUGCAAAAAGUCUUCAUCAACCAAAAUCAGAAUUAGCAACCAAUUUUUAUUCUGAGUUAGCAGCAGGAAACAAUGUCUGCCAACUUAACUUAUGGCAUCUUGGAUUCUAAUCUAACAAAAAAUCAAGUAUAUGUAUGCUAGCAUCUACUUAUUGGAUCGUCCAUUACGUACAAAGUUAUUGUGUGUCAGCGUGCUUGUAUCAUGCUUAAUUUCUCCUUUCAGCCAAUGACCACAGACAAUUCAAUAAAAUUAAGGAAAGAAAUAGAUUAUAUGAAAAUUAAUUCUAAUCAUGAAAAUUAUGUACAUUGUUUGCAAACGCAGUUUCAGUUCACUGUUCUCAGCAGUCAGACCAUUUGUAUCUCUCUGCUCAUAAAGAAAUCCAUAAGAAUAAUCGCUUGUAUCUCGUUAUGUAAGCUAGAUCAAACAGUCAUGUGAGUAGUGAAGUGAAAACGAAGGGAAUCAUAAGCAAAGACAUUCAUCUAAUCAGUCCAAUAAAGAGAACCUGGUCUAAUAAAGGAAUGGGUUAAGUGAAAUUUACCUGCAAGAGAGUCAAUUGAGCAGACAAGGAUGUUGCUUCUGUUUGCAACGUCUGGACUUUCUGUUCAAGCUCAGCAAUAUCUCGCAUUUUCCUUUCUUUUGACCUUGCAGCUGAAUGCCUAUUAGCCCGGAUCCUAAUGCAUGUCAACCAAAGGUAAAAUAUUAAGCAUAAUAGUUGAAGCAACGGGGCAAAACAAGGAGACAACGAACUCUUUUAUUUUCAUUUAAGAAGGGAAAAUGAAGAAGGGCAAAAACUAGAAAGCACCAAAGAAAAUCAGAUCCACUUCAAGGGUAACAAGAUGUCACAGGUGCAUUGUUGGAUUGUAUUGCACUUGGUUUGAUGUUAUUUUAGUCGACAAUGCAAAGAUUGGAGAAACAAAGAGGAUGGCACAUAUAACUGCCCCUCACCAUUGACCUUCUCAAAUUUGGAUCACUUAAGCAUUGGAUUGUAUUCAUUCUUCAUGUUAACUUUGUUCUGCAGGCUUCCUUCCUAUGGCUAACUUAAGCAUUUGAGUUAUUCUUUUUUUUUUCAAAGAUAUUUAGCUAUUUAAGUUUUUUUUUUGCCUGAUGUUGAACGAGAUUUUAAAUUCGAAUUAUGGUACCUAUUAUACAUGGCCGCACAUGGUGUGAAGAGAAUGAGCAUAUAUGCAAGUCCUCUUGUGGACCCGUAAAGGAAUGGGAAGCCCUACUGCUUAGUCCCCACCCAUCUUCUGCAAGAGAAAAGAAGAGAAAAAAACAAAUAGAGCCAGUAAGGCUCCCCACCCAUCAUUCUUUUUUUAGUAACAUUAAUAUUUGCAUUUGGUUGUCUUUACCAAGCAAUUCAGAGACAUGGGAUCGGAGAGCUUUCAGCCGUCUUCUCCUCCUCCUCCUCCAUGUGGAGGUGAAGAACCACCCAGAAACUGGCCGGUGGAUACUAAUUCAUCAAAUUUAGUACGUAAGGAUGAUAAGCAGGAUGGGAAACGAGACACCCCCUCCUACAUAUGCAGUAAAAGGCAACCCAGAGGCAAAUGGUGAAGUGGUUCAUACAUAGGACGUCUUGUAUAUCGCGGUCUGCUGUCAACUAAUAACAUCAAUAUUAUUAUUAUGAAUAAUAAUUAAGCUCUUCCAUUAAAGUUCUAUAUAUGUACUUCCAGAAUCCAGAGCUUUGUUAUGUUUGUCCCCUAGCAGACAUGGCAUGUAUUUGUAAUUUUAGUGAAUUUUAAUUUUAGUGUGUGUGUCUGUGUCUCUGUGUGUGUGUAGAGCUCUUAAGAAGAAGGAAAAUAGAUCACUCACUAGAUUUAUUGUACAUUAUUGAAACAAGAAAUGAACGUCAACAUUAAAAUCUUGCAUGGAGAGAGAAAGUAUCGGCUGUCACGUGUGCGUUUCAGCAUUUACUCGUGUAUUUUGGUUUCCGAUCUUGCCCCUACCCAGCUCUCUCCAGUCUCCACCAAGCUUUUUGCCAUUUUCAUCUCUUUUUUUUUCAUGCAAACUAAAGCCAAUAUUUACGCUAACUAUUUUACACUUGUUCGGGAGUUGGUAAGUUGCACUAGGAAUAGAAUACAACUCGUUUGAUAAUUAUUUUAAAGCAAGGCUCAUUUAGUAAUGAUCUCGUUUUAGGUUUUAGUUAUAAACUUGAAACUCGUUUGAAUGUGCUUUUAAAAUGACUAAAAACGUUUUUGAUGAAAAUAUUUUUUAAAACAAUUCUUAGUAAAAAUGUUAGUAAAUUCUGGAAAAACACUUAAAGUGUUUCCUGGGAGAAAAACAUAACUGAUACUUCUGGUAGAAAUGACUUAAGAUGCUUUUGAAACCCAAAAACAUUUUCUCUAAAAACCCUUUCAGUCAAAUUAAAAAUACAUCCAAACGAGCCAUUUUACUUUUCGUGCUUAAGAUAUAAAAUGUAUAUUGAUGAAAAAGGGUGGUGAGAGCAACGGUGGGAAGAGAUAAAAAAAAAUGAAUAAAAACAAAUUCAAGAUUUUGAAAGGAACUUAAAAUAGUUUUUUAUUUUUUGUUUCAGUUUUCAAUUUCUUCGCCUUUUAUUAUAUAUUUCUUCUACGUCUACCAUCACCACUUCCUCAAGUUGGGUGCCUACAACCGAAGAUUUGCAGUUUUGUAAAUAUGUUUUUUGACAACUAAUUCAUCUUUUACCCUUAACUUGUAAAAAAUUUAAACUUAUCCUAUAUUUUUGCAAUUAAAUUUUAAAAUUAUUCUAUAUCUUGGACAAAGUCCAUUUGAGGUCAGGUGAAAUCAUGAUGCUAUAUUGUGUGGUGGUUUUGAUCACUCUCGAUUGCAUCGUAAUUGAGUGGAGGGCGAUAUCGUUGUGGAUUAUAAGGAAUAUAUGCUGCAAGGAGUUGACGUGACAAGCAAGCAAUGUAGUGAGUGAUGCUAAAUCAUCAAGAAUAAAAGUUGACAGACCGAGACUAAACCCAAAAACACAUUUAAUUUUCCGAUAACAAAUCUUCAUAAUCUAAAUCCACCAUAAUAACCAGGAACAAAACACAAAUCACAAGGUGCUACAACCAUACGGUACUCAACCGAAAAUUAACCCCAUCAUUCGAUCUACAACUAAAACGAUAUGUACAGAACAGGCUACAAACAAAGGUGUCGUCUAGGUGUAUCUAACCAGACUCAAAAACAGAAGGGGAAGGAGGAGGAGAAGGGGGAGGAAGGGAAGGGAGGGUAAGUACCCUAACUGGAGGCGGCUGUGCAACUACAAUUUUUGAACAAUGCCUCAACCGUCUUUAAUUUUUGGCAGACCCGAUAACAUUUCAAUCCUUCGUUACAGAUUGGUUGACCUCUGAUGUAUUAUCUUUCU